CCUACGGGUGGCAGCAGUGGGGAAUAUUGGACAAUGGGCGAAAGCCUGAUCCAGCCAUGCCGCGUGUGUGAAGAAGGCCUUCGGGUUGUAAAGCACUUUCAGUGGGGAAGAAAGCCUUGGGGCUAAUACCCUCGAGGAAGGACAUCACCCACAGAAGAAGCACCGGCUAACUCCGUGCCAGCAGCCGCGGUAAUACGGAGGGUGCGAGCGUUAAUCGGAAUUACUGGGCGUAAAGCGCGCGUAGGCGGUCUGAUAAGCCGGUUGUGAAAGCCCCGGGCUCAACCUGGGAACGGCAUCCGGAACUGUCAGGCUAGAGUGCAGGGGAGGAAGGUAGAAUUCCCGGUGUAGCGGUGAAAUGCGUAGAGAUCGGGAGGAAUACCAGUGGCGAAGGCGGCCUUCUGGACUGACACUGACGCUGAGGUGCGAAAGCGUGGGUAGCAAACAGGAUUAGAUACCCUAGUAGU
rnacentral:rRNA from 1 species